CUCAGAUUGAACGCUGGCGGCAGGCCUAACACAUGCAAGUCGAACGGUAACAGGAAGCAGCUUGCUGCUUCGCUGACGAGUGGCGGACGGGUGAGUAAUGUCUGGGAAACUGCCUGAUGGAGGGGGAUAACUACUGGAAACGGUAGCUAAUACCGCAUAACGUCGCAAGACCAAAGAGGGGGACCUUCGGGCCUCUUGCCAUCGGAUGUGCCAGAUGGGAUUAGCUAGUAGGUGGGGUAACGGCUCACCUAGGCGACGAUCCCUAGCUGGUCUGAGAGGAUGACCAGCACACUGGAACUGAGACACGGUCCAGACUCCUACGGGAGGCAGCAGUGGGGAAUAUUGCACAAUGGGCGCAAGCCUGAUGCAGCCAUGCCGCGUGUAUGAAGAAGGCCUCGGGUUGUAAAGUACUUUCAGCGGGGAGGAAGGGAGUAAAGUUAAUACCUUUGCUCAUUGACGUUACCCGCAGAAGAAGCACCGGCUAACUCCGUGCCAGCAGCCGCGGUAAUACGGAGGGUGCAAGCGUUAAUCGGAAUACUGGGCGUAAAGCGCACGCAGGCGGUUUGUUAAGUCAGAUGUGAAAUCCCCGGGCUCAACCUGGGAACUGCAUCUGAUACUGGCAAGCUUGAGUCUCGUAGAGGGGGGUAGAAUUCCAGGUGUAGCGGUGAAAUGCGUAGAGAUCUGGAGGAAUACCGGUGGCGAAGGCGGCCCCCUGGACGAAGACUGACGCUCAGGUGCGAAAGCGUGGGGAGCAAACAGGAUUAGAUACCUGGUAGUCCACGCCGUAAACGAUGAUAACUAGCUGUCCGGGGACU
rnacentral:rRNA from 1 species